UCCCUGGUGGCUCAGACAGUAAAGCAUCUGCCUGCAAUGCAGGAGACCCAGGUUCCAUCCCUGAGUCAGGAA
rnacentral:tRNA from 1 species